AAUCAAAUUAUAUCCCGUGUUUGGGUGUUCGGUGUUCCACACUAUUUCUACCCCCAUCUAUCUACUCCCUCUUUUUUCCCUCCAAAACCCCCAAUUUCGGAAACUCCUAAGUUCAGCCAAUUGAAAUGUCCCCAAAUGCUGUAAUUGGGAUUCUUCAAAACCCUAUAAAUCCAAAUUAUUUGACCCAUUUCUCUCUUUCUUCUUCUUCACCCUACUCUCAAAUUGCUUCAUACCCAUUUGUUGUAUUGCAAAAAUCUUCAAUAAAAUUAAAAUCCAGCCUCAAAAUUAGCUGUAAUUCGUCCAGGUCCCACAAAAGAUCUGUUUCAAAGAGUGAUAAUUCCGAGGCAUAUGAACUUGUUCGUGUAAUUUUGAGGAAUUUCAGUGAUAAAGAGCCCUUGUUAUCAACUUUGAACAAAUAUGUUAAACUUUUGAGGACGGAGCAUUGUUUUAUGCUCUUUGAAGAACUGGGUAAAAGUGAUAAUUGGCUUCAAUGUCUCGAGGUUUUUAGAUGGAUGCAGAAACAAAGGUGGUAUAUUGCAGACAAUGGUAUAUAUUCAAAAUUGAUUUCGGUUAUGGGGAGGAAAGGUCAAACUAGGAUGGCAAUGUGGCUUUUCUCAGAGAUGCGUAACAGUGGAUGUCGGCCUGACACCUCUGUUUACAACGCUCUCAUAACAGCACAUCUACACUCUCGUGACAAGUCUAAGGCCUUGGAAAAAGGUCUCGGAUAUUUCAAUAAGAUGAAGGGGAUGGAGCGCUGUAAGCCAAGUAUCGUGACAUACAAUAUUCUCUUAAGAGCCUUUGCACAAGCACGGAAUGUUAAUCAAGUUAAUGCACUGUUUAAGGAUCUUGAAGAGAGCAUAGUUUCACCUGAUAUUUUCACAUUCAAUGGUGUGAUGGAUGCAUAUGGGAAAAAUGGGAUGAUCAGAGAAAUGGAAGAUGUUUUGUCUCGCAUGAAAAGCAAUCAAUGUAAGCCUGAUAUAAUCACUUUUAAUCUGCUGAUUGAUGCCUAUGGAAAGAGACAAGAAUUUGAGAAGAUGGAGCAAGUUUUCAAGAGCUUGUUACGUUCUAAGGAGAGGCCAACACUUCCCACAUUUAAUUCAAUGAUUGUCAACUAUGGGAAGGCACGGCUUCGAGAGAAAGCGGAGAGCAUUUUCCAUAAUAUAACCAGUAUGGGAUACACCCCUAAUUAUAUUACAUAUGAGAGUGUCAUUGUGAUGUAUGGAUUAUGUGACUAUGUUUCGAGAGCAAGGGAAACAUUUGAUGGGAUCAUUGCAUCUAAGAAGGAGUUGAAAGUGUCAACACUGAAUGCUAUGUUAGAUGUUUACUGCUUGAAUAGCUUACCAAUGGAGGCAGACAUGCUCCUGGACAGUGCACGAGAUUAUGGUGUCCACCCGAAUUCUUCGACUUAUAAGCUUCUUUACAAAGCUUACACUAAGGCAAACAUGAAAGAUCUUUUACAGAAGUUGUUAAAGUGUAUGGAUCAAGAUGGUAUAGUUCCUAAUAAGAGGUUUUUUUUAGAAGCACUAGGAGCAUUUGGGUCAUCAACAACUACUAAAAAACCUGCUUCUAGAAGUACAGAUAAGAGGAAAAAUACAGAUGCGCAUAACCAACAGGCAGCUGGGAAGACAUAAUUGCAUAUUUUGAGACAUUAGUCAUCUGAUCUACGGGCUCCAAUGAAUUCUGCCAAUUCAGCUAAUGUUGAGAAGACCACUUGAAUACUUAAGUGAGUUUUGGCACCCAACAAUAAUCACGCUAACAACAUUAUUUACCCUUCAAUUUAGGGGUUGAAGGGUUCCACAGUUUUUCAUCGAGAAUAAAAUUUGCUGUUGGUGGUGUUGGGGGAUAAAACAUUCAAUAUUGGAACUGGAAACAACAAUUUGUAUCCACUGUAUAACAGGGUUGGACUCUCCUUGGCCUAUAAGCAUAUACACUUAAAUAUUAAUUUGGUGUAUAUUUGUGUUUGCAGCUAAUAUGUAUUGUAUUCCUCUCCAUAAACUCACUUAGUGUCCGUUAAGACUUAGGGCAUGCUUGGAUUGAAGGUAAUGUAUUAAAGGGGUAAUAAAAGUCAAAUUAAAGUAAUUGAAGGUGAUGAUGAGGGGAUGUAGUGGUGGUAAAGGGAACAAGCUAGUGUUGGCAAGAAGAAAAUAAAAGGGAAGGGGGAACAAAUACCUUCAUCAUGGGGGGAAUAGUUAUCCACCAUCCCACUAGGGUGAUUAUUACCCUCAUUUAGGGGGUAAUUACUUCCCCCCUUCCUCCCUUCUCCUCACAACACCACCACUACCACAACUUCUCAUCACAAUACCACCACACCACCCUCCUUGCAACCACCUCAAUUCACCUACAUUGUCUUUUUAUUAUGGUGGUUUGACUUUUAUUACCCCCAUAAUCCAUUACACCCAAUCCAAGUGUGCCCUUAAGACCCACUUUAUGGACAAAAACCUUGAUUUGGGCCCUGUAGGGUUUGAGGCAUACAAAUCUCUCUUAAACAAGAUCUCUAUUUCUAGACUUCACUAAUAUCCCAGGUCUCAACUCUCAAGACUCACAACUCCUAAUAGACAUGGAAUAAUCGGACAAUUUGACACAAGAAUCUCAUGCUUACCAAAAAUGCACCUCCUUAAUAAGUCAACUAAAUGUUGUAUCCCAUUAACUCUAUGGAAAUAAUCCCAAUAAGUAGCUUUUUAAUCUUUUGGGAUGCGUAUCACAACUUUGAAACUUAGAGUCAGCAACAAGUAUGAAGUACAGAACUCUUUUUUGUUUUUAUUUGCUCAUAAUGAAAGUGUAGGUGUCCAUAUCCAUGUUAAUAUGUUAUAGGUUGAGGAUCAUAAUCCUACGUAGAUGCUUAGGUGAAAUAAAAAGUCUGAUUAUUUAGGAAUUUUCCAAGACAUACUUAAGGGGAAAGUGCAAUAAGAAGUCACUUAAAAUGAGAAGGUUGGGAUGGAAAUCGGCAACCCUAUAUUACUUCGUGAAAGAGAUGCAACUUUUUUGUUACUAGGAGCAAUCUGCAGAAUCUAUUACCUUAGAAAACCAUUGUUAAUGGGUUAAAGUUCAAUUGAGGAAUCUGUUUAGAAUAUAUUGAGAUAGUCACGGGGCCGUCGGUCUGGUAUUAAGAAAUGCAGAACUGCUAGUCGCCUAGUACUAUAUUGCAUUCGUUCUAAGAUGUUGGCUGAAUCUUUUGCUUGCUUCAUCAAUUUUCCUGAACAUA